rnacentral:rRNA from 1 species
AGAACGAACGCUGGCGGCAGGCUUAACACAUGCAAGUCGAACGCUCGUAGCAAUACGGGAGUGGCAGACGGGUGAGUAACGCGUGGGAACAUACCCUCCGGUUCGGAAUAGCUCAGGGAAACUUGGAUUAAAUACCGGAUACGGCUGAGAGGCGAAAGAUUUAUCGCCGGAGGAUUGGCCCGCGUUCGAUUAGCUUGUUGGUGAGGUAACGGCUCACCAAGGCGAUGAUCGAUAGCUGGUCUGAGAGGAUGAUCAGCCACAUUGGGACUGAGACACGGCCCAAACUCCUACGGGAGGCAGCAGUGGGGAAUAUUGGACAAUGGGCGCAAGCCUGAUCCAGCCAUGCCGCGUGAGUGAUGACGGCCUUAGGGUUGUAAAGCUCUUUCGCUCGGGACGAUAAUGACGGUACCGAGAUAAGAAGCCCCGGCUAACUUCGCGCCAGCAGCCGGC